rfam:Picea glauca, whole genome shotgun sequence.
GUGGACGUAGUCAAGUGGACCAAGGCAGUGGAUUGUGAAUCCACCAUGCGCGGGUUCAAUUCCCGUUGUUCUCC